rnacentral:rRNA from 1 species
UACGUAGGGUGCAAGCGUUAAUCGGAAUUACUGGGCGUAAAGCGUGCGCAGGCGGUCCGGAAAGAAAGAUGUGAAAUCCCAGGGCUCAACCUUGGAACUGCAUUUUUAACUACCGGACUAGAGUAUGUCAGAGGGAGGUGGAAUUCCACGUGUAGCAGUGAAAUGCGUAGAUAUGUGGAGGAACACCGAUGGCGAAGGCAGCCUCCUGGGAUAAUACUGACGCUCAUGCACGAAAGCGUGGGGAGCAAAC